CUCCGGCCAAUCAGCUUACGGCUUGGGCGCUGGCGGGACUUCCCGCCUUGCCUUGCGCUGCUCGCGGGCACUGCGGCCCACGCCACACCCUCGAGGGACUCGCCUACGCCUUUUUAUUAAUUGGCAGAAGAGACGGAGGACAACUGGAUUCUCGUAUCCGCUUCUGCAUUCAAUCUACUGUGAUAUGCUGUUUUUUUUGAAGUGCGAAGAAAUUCUGGCCUCACUCAGAUUCGCCACUGAACAGUUUGUUAGUCGUUGGAGCACGGGCACAGACAGGACCAUCACUGUCCCUCCCAGGACCAGUCGCUGCGUCACCAGGGGAGCCCUGGUCACAGAGCAGCAGAAUCGGAGGACAGGAGGAUAAAUGAACUCAGCGCUCUGAACUGAAGGAGUGUGGGCACUAGCAGAGCAGAACUCUGAGAAGAUGCAAAGAGCACAGAGAGAGAGCCAGCAGGUUUCCCCUCUCAGAAGCCUUUCCUAGGAAUGUAAUUUUCACCGGUCAGUCUGGAAUUUCCUGGUCAACACCAGUGAGGAAAUCUCCCUGAUAGACAUCUGGCAUCCUCCAAAGGAAGAUGACUUUGCCUGAAGGAUUCGGUCCUUGUGAGAAUCACCGCCUUGCCCUCCUUCUACCUGAGAUUUACGGUAGGAACUGGCUCAUCUGGUUGAAGAGACCAGGAAGUCCCACGAUCUGCAUUGGCAAGCUGAAGAAGCAGGAAAGCUGAUGGGGUGAUUCAGUCUGAGGCUGAAGGCUGAUGCACUCAGGAAUGUACCCAGAAACAAUUUGCCAACUCUCUGGGCAUUCCUCUGCUAGUCAAGAUGCAGCUGGGAGCCCUGGGACGUGGCUCCCCAUCCUGUCACCUCCGCUCCGGACAUGUGGCCUGAUUGCUCUAGGCAGCUUGCCUCUGGAAGCACACAGUUCUAUCUCCACAGCUCAUCUUUUGUUCCUGCCAUGGGACCUGUGGCUUUUUGAGUUGAGAGACCAACAGCCUAGGAUACAGAUGCAUGAAUGCGGAAAAUCUUGACAGGGAGGCACUGGGCUGUGUUACAGCAGUGGCUGGAGAGCUCUUCUGGUUCUGGAGCCCACACUGUAUACUGGCGGUAUGAGGGCGUACAGCCCAGCUCUCCUGGCCUUCUCUUCCCAUGUGAUGAGGGUGCUGGUGGGCUCUAACAUCCACGGGGCCCAGGCUCGCUCUGAAGCUGAGGUGUCUGGGAGUUCGAAGGAUCACAGUUAGGUGCAUGGCUCCAACUCCUGCCUGCACAUCGAUGGCUCUUCAAUCUCUAUAUCUAGAACUUUCUCAGGUCUGAGCUUCAGUAUCUCAGAUAUAACUUCUAGACGUGGCCCUUGAGUGCCCCACGGGUUUUCAGAGUUGACGUGUUCAAAAUUGGACUCAUCAUCUUCUUUUCCCAAACUUGCCUCUCUUCCAUGUCCUCCGUCUCAGGUAGUGACAAUCAACCAUGACACAAUCCACCCAGUAACAAAGUGGGAAACCUGGAGCCCUGGGUGCCGGCCGUGCCUUUGACUCCUCAACACACCACACACACCACACCAUGUGCUAUGUCUACAGCCAAUGAGUCGCUAAUACCUAUCAAUUCUGCCUCUCAAGUACCUCUAACGUCAGGUCCCUCUUCUUCCCUCCCACUGCUGCUGAGCUUAGGUCCUUUGGGAUGGGGACAGAUACACUGGCCUCUCCAAGAGUUGUGACCACCUGUGUCAGGCAUCUGUACCUUGCUUAAGGCAAAAUACCUGCAGUUCUCAGCUCCUUAACUCUCUACCUGCCUGAAAAAACUUUUCUUUUGCUCUUCCCCUGGUGAAGUCUCACUCUUGUACCCUCCUCAAGGAGCCUUCCUUGACCUCCCCACCCUGUGCUAUGCUCCUUUCGUGCCUGCUCAUGACCCUUACCAUAGCCUCCACCGCCUGUCAGCUGUUUGUGUGGCGAGGGCAGGGGCUUGGCCGUCCAGCUUUGUGUGCUCAGCACAGUGCACAGAUCCUGGCAUGCUCUGCCUGUUAGAGCAAAUGCUGCUGAAGAAUCACACCUAAGAGCAUGACUUUGGGGAGAGGUGCCCAACAUGAACCCCCUCUGCUAUUCACAGAAUCAAAAAUGUGGCUGUCAAAGAUAAAGCCCAACCUUGUCGAUAAAAAUCCAACCGGUUCUUUACCUAUUCAGCCUUUGUGUAUUGAGCAUCUUCGCGAAGUCAGGUGCUCCUGCACAGAGCACUGAGAUUCCAAGAUGAAGGAAAUGCCACUCUGGACCCCCAAGGAGCUCAGAGGUCAGGGGUUAGAAAACCAAAGUAAGGGCAUUCUUGGCACCUAUGGGCAGGUGCCACAGCCUCAAGGUGGGUGAAUGCAUGAUCCCCUCUAGAGGAACUUGAUCCCAGACCCCAGGAUCACCAUCUGAGCCAAAGGCAGAUGCUCAACCACUGAGCUGCCCAGG